UACGGAGGGUGCAAGCGUUAUUCGGAAUUACUGGGCGUAAAGCGCACGCAGGUGGCUGAGUCAGUCGAUUGUGAAAGCCCUGGGCUUAACCUGGGAAUUGCAGUCGAUACUACUCAGCUAGAGUAUGGGAGAGGGUAGUGGAAUUCCCGGUGUAGCGGUGAAAUGCGCAGAUAUCAGGAGGAACACCGGUGGCGAAGGCGGCUCUCUGGGCCUGUCCUGACGCUGAGGCGCGAAAGCUGGGGGAGCGAACAGG
rnacentral:rRNA from 1 species